GACAGAGGGUGCAAACGUUGUUCGGAAUUACUGGGCGUAAAGCGCGUGUAGGCGGCCCUGCAAGUCGGUUGUGAAAUCCCACGGCUCAACCGUGGAAGUGCAUUCGAAACUGCAGGGCUAGAGUCCUGGAGAGGAAGGUGGAAUGCUUGGUGUAGAGGUGAAAUUCGUAGAUAUCAAGCGGAACACCGGUGGCGAAGGCGGCCUUCUGGACAGUGACUGACGCUGAGACGCGAAAGCGUGGGGAGCAAACAGG
rnacentral:rRNA from 1 species